GACGAACGCUGGCGGCGUGCUUAAUACAUGCAAGUCGAACGGUUAAAGCUCAUUUCGGUGAGUGUAUAAAGUGGCGAACGGGUGAGUAACGCGUAAGAAACCUACCUAUGAGUGAGGAAUACCUAUUGGAAACAGUAGUUAAUACCUCAUAUCUCAACUAAAGGCAUCUUUGGUUGACUAAAGAUUUAUCGUUCAUAGAUGGUCUUGCGUCUGAUUAGUUAGUUGGUGAGGUAAUGGCUCACCAAGGCAACGAUCAGUAGCUGGUCUGAGAGGAUGAUCAGCCACAUUGGGACUGAGAUACGGCCCAG
rnacentral:rRNA from 1 species